UUACUUACUUUCUCAAUGCCUUGGGGAGGGGUUGGAGAGAGAGACAGAACUUGGAACUCAAAAUUUUUAAAAAUUAAAAUAUAUUUUUUUAAAAAAGAAAAGAAAAAAAGCACUUAAUGAAAGUAGCAGAGAAUUUAGGAGUCUCAGAUGCCUGAGAGAGGUGACAAAAAUAAAGACCUUGAUGUUCUUUCCAUCCUCCUUUCCCCAGUAUAGUCCCAAUGCCUACAUGAAUUUUUGUUGUGGAAGGUGGACCAGUUUUGACCCAGCCCUCCAACACGUUAAUGUGUAGAUGUAACUAGAGGUGGCAUGAGCUUCUUUUAACCACAAUCAUGAUUUCAAAUAAAUAGCCUGGAUACAUGAGGAAUGACACAUCUGGUGUCUCCUGAGGCCUUUCCUGGAGAAGCCAUGGGAGUAACUGUUCUAGGCUGUCUGCCUUGUUAUGCUGGGAAGUUGUAAGACUAUGGUUCAUACUCAAGCUUCCAUUGUGAUGGGGAUUUAGGGGGUGUCAUUCCAAAUAGUCAACUUUGGUCACUGACAUCAGCUCCCAUCUAUGUAAAAGUGGGUUUGUUCACUUUUUUUUUUGUUCUGUAUGUUGUUAUUGUUGUUGUUUUUCAACAGAAUACGCCUAGAUGUUCUAACUGCAACAGACUGGUAUGGUCCAAUUGCAUGGGAAGUCACUUACAAGAGAAAAUACCUAGACCAUCAUUGCAAAGAACAAAAUAUCACCAGGGGCUUGUGUUUGCCUUUGGAAGGUAUGGAUAUAAAACCUUGAAGAAAUUCAUCAGAUCUGCUGACAAAUAUUUUAUGUGUUUGGGAGCUCAUCUCAGGGAGUUCUAAACCUCACCCAGGAAUGCAGCAAGCGGAUGCUUCAGGACAAGGAGAAUGAAACAGAAGUUGGGGGGGCAUGAUGAAAGUCACCUAAGCAAGUAUUUCUUUUUAAACAAACCUACUAAAAUCUUAUUACCAGAAUACUGUUGGGACUGUUGUCUGGAAGACAAUUCACAUGCUAAAUUAAUCAAGAUGGGUUGGCAGUCAAAGAACAAUAAUAGGAUUAAAAAUAAUCCUUGAUCUGUGAUUGUCCAAUUAAAUUUGUGGAUUACAGAGCCUGUUCUUCAGACCAAUUCCUAAGGAAAGAAGCAAGUAAGAAUUUUUAAAAGUCAAAAACCUAACAAAAAAACUGUCUUCUUAAAUAGCACAUGCAUAUAUUCUUUUUGUUCUCUGAAAUAACAAACUUUCUAACUUGCAUGAUGUGGGAUAACAAAUAAAUCUAUGGUAACUGGG
rnacentral:lncRNA from 1 species